CAGUCGGGACCUAAGGCGAGGCCGAAAGGCGUAGUCGAUGGACAGCUGGUUAAUAUUCCAGCACCCCGGAUAUGGUGCGGAUCGAGAAAGUCCCCUGCCUUACCAGAUUGGUAGGCCUUCGGGCCGUUGGGGGCGGAAUCGGUUCCUAGAAAAGCCAUGUCGUUAACGGGCCCGUACCAAAACCGACACAGGUAGGUGGGGUGAAGAACCUCAGGCGCUCGAGAGAACGGUUGUGAAGGAACUCGGCAAAAUGACCCCGUACGUUCGCAAGAAGGGGGCCCUACCCGUAAGGGAGGGCGCAGAGAAAAGGCCCUAGCGACUGUUUACCAAAAACACAGCUCUGUGCAAACUCGCAAGAGGAAGUAUACAGAGUGACACUUGCCCAAUGCCGGAAUGUCACGGAAGUGGGUUAGCUUCGGCGAAGCUCGCGACCCAAGCACCGGUCAAUGGCGGCCGUAACUAUGACGGUCCUAAGGUAGCGAAGUUCCUUGUCGGGUAAGUUCCGACCUGCAUGAAUGGCGUAACGACU
rnacentral:rRNA from 16 species